AAUGAACGCUGGCGGCAUGCCUAACACAUGCAAGUCGAACGAGACCUUCGGGUCUAGUGGCGCACGGGUGCGUAACGCGUGGGAAUCUGCCCUUGGGUUCGGAAUAACAGUUAGAAAUGACUGCUAAUACCGAAUGAUGUCGUAAGACCAAAGAUUCAUCGCCCAGGGAUGAGCCCGCGUAGGAUUAGCUAGUUGGUGUGGUAAAAGCGCACCAAGGCGACGAUCCAGCUGGUCUGAGAGGAUGAUCAGCCACACUGGGACUGAGACACGGCCCAGACUCCUACGGGAGGCAGCAGUGGGGAA
rnacentral:rRNA from 1 species